rnacentral:rRNA from 1 species
AUUGAACGCUGGCGGCAUGCUUUACACAUGCAAGUCGAACGGCAGCACGGACUUCGGUCUGGUGGCGAGUGGCGAACGGGUGAGUAAUACAUCGGAACGUGCCCAGUUGUGGGGGAUAACUACUCGAAAGAGUAGCUAAUACCGCAUGAGAACUGAGGUUGAAAGCAGGGGGUCGUAAGACCUUGCGCAACUGGAGCGGCCGAUGGCAGAUUAGGUAGUUGGUGGGAUAAAAGCUUACCAAGCCGACGAUCUGUAGCAGGUCUGAGAGGACGACCAGCCACACUGGGACUGAGACACGGCCCAGACGCCUACGGGAGGCAGCAGUGGGGAAUUUUGGACAAUGGGCGAAAGCCUGAUCCAGCAAUGCCGCGUGCAGGAUGAAGGCCUUCGGGUUGUAAACUGCUUUUGUACGGAACGAAAAGCUUCGGGUUAAUACCCUGGAGUCAUGACGGUACCGUAAGAAUAAGCACCGGCUAACUACGUGCCAGCCGCCGCAGUAA